GACGAACGCUGGCGGCGUGCUUAACACAUGCAAGUCGAACGAAGUGGCGAACGGGUGAGUAACGCGUAAUCAACCUGCCCUUCAGCGGGGGACAACAGUUGGAAACGACUGCUAAUACCGCAUACUGAAGGAGGGGAUUGCGUCUGAUUAGCUAGUUGGAGGGGGAACGGCCCACCAAGGCGAAGAUCAGUAGCCGGUCUGAGAGGGUGGACGGCCAAAUUGGGAAUGAGACACGGCCCAGACUCCUACGGGAGGCAGCAGUGGGGAAACUUCCGCAAUGGAGGAAAGGCUGGCGGAGCAACGCCGCGGGAGGGAUGACGGGCUUCGGGUUGUAAAGCUCUGUUAAUCGGGACGCGGUACCGGAAUAGAAAGCCACGGCUAACUACGUGCCAGCAGCCGCGGUAAUAC
rnacentral:rRNA from 1 species